rnacentral:tRNA from 1 species
GUUUUAAUAGUUUAAGAAAAACACUGGUCUUGUAAACCAAAAUUGAAGCUAAUUCUUAAAACU